GAAGGUAUAGCUCGAGUGGUAGAGCAUAUGCUUGGCAUGCACGAGGUCCUGGGUUCAGUUCCCAGUACCUCUA
rnacentral:tRNA from 1 species